GAAGCCCAGGUCAAGGCCCUAACAAAAGGGCCCGCCUAUGGCCACAGUUUCAGGCCCUCCUUUCAGUCAUGGACUGUUGAAGCACGAUUUCCUGGUGCUUUCGCCCCUUUCACCGACCAUUUCAAGAGUCCGUAGUUCUCGCCUGGGUUUGGAUUCGGUAUAAGUGAGCCUGUUUACCAUCAAAGAAAAUGGUGAAAUGUCUUCUGGAGACGAUGUUCUCUUCUGGUUCUAACCCUGUCACUCAGUGAGACCCCCAGAGAAGCCUAGUUUUCAGAUUAUUCUAGUCCUUGGCAGGCUCAAGAUGUCAACAACACGGUUGGAAACAACCCCUGAGAGGUCACAUAGCGCGCACUCAGCUUUACAGAUCGUCCAAGGCAGCGACCCCUGAGAGGUCACAUAGCGCGCACUCAGCUUUAUAGAUCGUCCAAGGCAGCAAUUAGAAUCAGCAACUCGGAGAGGAAAAAAAGCUGUUAGCGGAAUGGAGGCUGACCAUUAUCUGUAGUAAAGAAUCGGAAGUACAGUACAAAAAUAAAUUACCGAAACGCAACAUGCGUGAAUUUCACACAAAAAAAUGAAGUUGAGGGAAAGAAGCCAGACAUGGAAGAGUUCAUAUUGCGUGGUUCCAUUUAAAAACUAGCCCAUGGUGUUAAUGAGCAUAGUGGGGAGGACAAUGACAUGAAAGAGCCACCAGGGGGCUUUUGAGGUUCAGGAUCCCCAGCCAGUGAGCCUAAAAUGGGUAGAAGGAAAAGAUAUUUCUUACCCUACGCACCCAGGUCCAAGUCAUCAUUAUUUUGUCUGAAAUUUAUCUUCCUAACUGAUUUCUCUGCUUCCCCAUUGUGCCUUAAGAGUUAGUUUUCCACAGAGCAGCUCGAGAUAUCUUUUCAGAUCAUUAUAUCCCUUUGCUUAAAAACCUCUAACAGCUUCCUAUUAGGCUUAGAAUAAAGUACAAACUCCUUAAUGUGAACUUGAGUGUUUUACGUAUCUUAUCUCACCUUUAUGAGCUUCAUGUCAGAACCCAUCUCUCACCACUCUUCCUUCCCCGCUCCCUGAUUUAAACAGUCUGGCACUUUACUUAUUCAUUGAACCCACUGGGUUUGCUCUUGCCUCCAAGUCUGUACCCAGCUUUCUCUCUACCUGUAAUCCUCUUCCUCUAGGUCAUCACACAGAUCGUUUCUUCACUCUAUUUAGGUCUUUCAGAAGUAACACUAAGGGAGGCUUUUCCAGACAAUAUUAUGCAAAUAUAAAUGGACAUGUGACAAAUACUUUAUUCGACUUAUUAGUUACUGAGAGUGUAUUUGAGUAGCCAGGUAUUUAUAGGCAAUUUAACAAUGUAAUGUUAGUAUAAGGUGGCAAGGUUAGAUAUAAACCUGUUAAUGUCUCACAGGGUAAUAAACUAUAACUUUUGGUGUUAUCUGUUCCACUGGAAAGGAAGUAGGGAUUUGCAUUCUUACUGGACAAAAAUCUACAAGUUAAUGUAUAGAUUCAGUAUAGGACUUUUAAAUCAAUAGUGAACGAUGAAAUGAACAAAGUACAAUCCCCUAGUCCUUGGUUUGACACUGAAAGGACAUGCCACUCACCUUUUUGCCUUGUUUCCAAAGUUUGGAAUAAUUUUCCUUUCAAAAUGAAAUUAUUUCUCAUUCAGUUGUCCUAUUGCAGGCAGCCUUUACUGCUUCCCCCAGUUAAUGUACCUGUCAAGCUUACUCAUGAUUUCCUAACUGCCAAAUUCAAUGGAUAUUUUUAAUUUUUUUUUUGCUAUGACUCAUACUGUUCCCUUCGGGCUUGUCAGCAGAUAAAUGACCUUCUGGGGACUGUGCAAAAUAUGGAAUGCUUAAUGAAUUUGUGUGUUAUUCUUGUGCAGGGGACACAACAGUCUUCUCUGUAGAUUACAGUUUUAGUGUAUGUGCUGUUGAAGUGAGCACUUCUGAGUAAUUUUGAUUGUUUUACUUUUUAUGUAAAAUUUCACAUUGUUUAAAACACCAGAUGGGGGCCAGGCAUGGUGGCUCAUGCCUGCAAUCCCAGCACUUUGGGAGGCUGAGGCGAGUGGAUUGCUUGGGCUCAGGAGUUUGAGACCAGCCUUGCCAUGUGGCAAAACCUUGUCUCUAUAAAAAAUAGAAAUAUCAGCCAGGCAUGGUGGUGUAUGCCUGUAGUCCCAGCUACUUGGGAGGCUGAGGUGGGAGGCACUUGAGCCUGGGAGGUGGAGGUUGAAGUGAGCUGAGAUCACGCCACUGCACUCCAGCCUGGGUGACAGAGCAAGACCAUCUCAGAAAACAAACAAACAAAAAAUACCACAUGGCCAAAUGAAAGAUGUCUGUGGUCUGAAUUUGGGCCAAAAGCUGUAAUCUUACAGUCUUUGAUUAUUUUUUAAUACAUGCUGAAUUCCAAGAGGAGCUGACAAAUCUCUUGAGAUUUCACUUGGGUUCCAUGGAUUCCCAGCACAAAAUGCAAAUGCAAAUGAGAUAUGAUUGGGAUUCUCUGCACACUAUCUCCACUUUCAUAAGUGCCUCUGAAGUUUAGUUUGAAUUUUAUAGUAUCUCCUACCUUGCUGUACCUUAAAGGACUAACAGCAGCUACCUGACCCAGGAUUAGCCAGUCAUAUUUUUUCCAGAAUUUGUAAUUGGAACAAUUGAGAUGGUAGUCUUCUGCUGGUAGUUUGAAGAGAGGAUAUGUAAACUUGGUAGCUGUGUACUUAGAAGCAGAGAAAGCCUGUUUUCAGAGAGAAGAAUGAAGCAGGUAAGUCAUCUGGAAGGACAAGCAGAAGCACAAUUUUGGGAACAGUUGCUUUCAGAGUCCUGAUGGCAUUCCAGCCCCUUGUCCUAGUGCCAGUUCAGGCCCAAGUGUUUGGCCUUUGGGACCUAUGAUACAGAUAUCCUAUUUCCUUUUAAUUAAUUGCCUCUUAAAAUUACUAUUAUUAAGCUAGCUUGCAAGGGUUUCUGUUACGUGGAAUCAAGGAACCUCAGUAGAGAGGAAAAUGAAGCACUUUGUGGUGGUGCUGCACAGGGUAUCAUUUUGCAGGGUAUAUACUGUGUGUUUUCUACGUUGACUGGAGUCUGGGGUCAGGUGUAAGAAGUGUUACAUAAACAUUGGGUUCAAAUGAGUCAGAAUAAAGUCAACUAAAAAAAUAAAAAAGACAUACAUGGACUUCA
rnacentral:lncRNA from 1 species